CCGAUUCUGACCAAACAACUCACACAGUUUUUUAAUUUCAAAUCCCUAAAACCAUUUCCCUCUCUCACCCCUCUAGCUGCAUCUCCGUUCGGGAAGUUCGCGGAUGAGAUUCUCUCUCAACCACCUCUCUCACUGCAUCUCUCACACCGCUUUCUACUGUCAAUGAGGGAAAGACCCUAGCGGUCCCUUAAAAAAAGCAUUUCCCUCGCACGAUUCUCUCUCUCUCACCCCUCUCGCUGCAUCUCUGCUCAGGAAGUUCGCGGGUUGCGAUUCUCUCUCUCACCCCUCUCACUGCAUCUCUCACACCGCUCUCUGCUGCCGUGGAGGGAAAGACCCUAGCGGUUUGCUCUGAUCACGAAGGUCUCGCCCUGCUCCGCGAAGGUCUCUCUGCGGCUGGAAAGUUAGGUUUCUCUGCGACUAGAAGCAGCAGAGACGAGGCAAAACCAACCCUUCUGAGUUUUACAUAUUCUUCCUCAUCUGGGUUCACAAUCCCUUACUCAAAACUGCCUCUGAUGGUGAAAUCAAUGGCCUCUGGUUUAUAUCAAAUUAGGAUCUGUCAAGGGGAUGUGGUUUCAAUUCUAUUAGCCAGCAACAUUUACUUUCCUAUUAUAUACUUGGGUAACUUGUCCAUUGGUGCCAUUGCCACUGCCAUUAAUCCUCUCAAUGGUCUCCCUGAGAUACAAAAGCAAUUGAACCAAUGCUUAAGAAGAAAUGGUAAGCAGCAAAAUGGGAGAUGCUACUACAGUAACUCUUUUGAUGGGUGUGGGGGUCUCAAGGAAAUGAAGAAAGGGUUGGAAACUCUGUUUUGUCUACUGGUCAGGGUAAGUAAGAACCUGUUGAUUGGGUAUUUAUUCUGUGUUUUGAGUUUUAUGGGUUUGUUAAUUAUAUUUGUUCAUUAAGUUCUAACCCUUGAACACAGGUAACAAAAACUUGAAGAGAAUCAAGUAUGGAUCUCAUAGAUUUUUAAGUUCCUGGUUUCAAUGAAGUGGGUUUCUGUGAUAAUCUUGUUAUUUUGGAGCUUGGACUAAUAAUUGAGUGGAAAAUGUGGUGACAAGGAACAGGUGAACAGAAGAGGAGUUGCAAGGAUGGAUGGAUAGGGCUUGCAGAUAAUGCAAGAGCAAGGGUUAACACACAUUAAACUAUGGAGGAACUACUGGCAGAUAUGGUUUACAAUCUGAUGGUUGCCUUAUGUGACUUGACUUUUACAGGUAAAGUCAGCUGGCAGAUAUGGCUUACAAUCUGGUAAUUCCCACGACAUGGAAUUUUGUCAUAUAGCAAUGUGUUUGUGAAUUGCUUUUUAUUAUUGGGUAUCUUAUAGGCAUCUCUGAUGCUGCCGGCAGAAAUAGGAAGGGGAAACAAUGCUGAUUGGUUCCUUGUUUUAGGCCAGUUUUGUGCAACCUGUAACUCUUUAUUUAUUUCUCAUCUCUGCUCAUCUGUCCUCAAAUUCCCUACCAAUGAACUUUUUGUUCCAGUUAUGAUUACAUACCCAUUUCAUUUCCUACUAGUGACUCUACACUUUCAGUUGAAUGAUUUCAUAGCCAUUUCAUUACCUUGCUGUGAUCUGGCCGCAAGCUAUAUUCAGUCCAAUUACACCCUGCUAUAUGUAACUCUCAUUUCCCAUUUCAUAUUCAGUCCAAUUACAUACCCAUUUCAUUUCCUACUAGUGACCCUGUGUUUGGCCAUUAAAUUUUCUAUUUCGUAAAGGAGAAUUUAAUAGAUCGUUUUUCCUGGAGUUCAAAGAAAAUAUUUCACAUAUCAACAUAAAAAUAUUUUACUGAUUCCAUCAGAAUUCCGGAUAUUCUAAGUCCUGACAGAGGCAUCUAUUGAGCUACAAGCCUACAACAUUACAUUUGCAGAGGAGCAACUUCCUUAUCCACUUUGUCACUAUAGUAGGUUCCUCUAAAUAUUUUCAGGCUGGAAGAGCUCUUCCUUUUUCCCUUUCUUGAUUGCAUUAUGGAACCCAGUAAUCUGAGAAUUUCAGGGAGGUUUUGUUAUAUAAGAAAUGAUAAAGAAGCUUUUCUGGCCUGAAUGGACCAAUAGGAAGGACUUUGUCUAUUAUCUCAGGCCCAUUCAUAUGAUUUAUCUCUAAGUACAUUAUUACUGGGAAAAAAAAUACAAAAACAAAGAUUUCUUCAA